rnacentral:rRNA from 1 species
UACGGGGGGAGCAAGCGUUGUUCGGAUUUACUGGGCGUAAAGGCGCGUAGGCGGCCAGCGCAAGUCAGUUGUGAAAUCUCCGAGCUUAACUCGGAAAGGUCAACUGAUACUGCGCGGCUAGAGUGCAGAAGGGGCAACUGGAAUUCUCGGUGUAGCGGUGAAAUGCGUAGAUAUCGAGAGGAACACCUGCGGCGAAGGCGGGUUGCUGGGCUGACACUGACGCUGAGGCGCGAAAGCUAGGGGAGCGAACGGG